UGCAAGAGUACGAAGGAGAAAAUUAUUAGAACUCGCCCAUUUCCUCACUUCUCCACUACUCUUUUCAACUGCGAAGGACAUAAACAGAAAAAAACCCUAGGUUUAGCUGGAUUUAAUUACCAUUCAAUCGAAUGAAAAUUGGAAUCGGAAUCGAGCCGAGCUGAAUACAAUCGCUGCUAUUCGUUGUCUAAGAUGGCGGUUUCGGAGGAGGAAUCAUCGUCGUCGGCGCCGGCGAGUAGCUCCAGGUCACGAUCAGCAGCUAUGAACGGAGGAUGUUAUUUGGCGAAGACGGUGCUAAGAGGAAGCGUUGUUCUCCAAGUCGUCUAUGGCCACAUCCGCUUCCCUUCCUCAAACGACGUUGUUUUCGGCAAGGAGACAUCUAUAGAAUUGGUGAUCAUAGAUGAUGAUGGAGUUGUACAAUCAAUAUGUGAGCAGCCAGUGUUUGGCACUAUAAAAGACCUUGCCAUUCUGCCUUGGAAUGAUCGAUUUCAUUCUCGAAGCUCACAGAUUCAUGGCAAAGACAUUCUGGUUGUUAUUUCUGAUUCAGGAAAGCUAUCAUUUCUUGCAUUUUGCAAUGAAAUGCACAGGUUUUUCCCAUUAACACAUGUUCAACUCUCUUCUCUUGGGAAUUCAAGGAAUCAAAUUGGAAGGAUGCUAGCCAUUGAUUCUAAUGGCUGUUUCAUUGCUGCUAGCGCAUAUGAAAACAAAUUAGCUCUUUUCUCUGUCUCGACUUCUUGUGGCAAUGAUAUUAUUGAUAAGAAAAUCUGUUGUCCUCCUGACAAUCACGAGGACAUUAAAACUGUAAAUGGUGUUACUGAAAUCUGUGGUACCAUAUGGAGCAUGUGCUUUAUCUCAAAAGAUCUCCGCCAGCCAAGUAAGGAGCACAACCCUGUAUUAGCAAUUCUUCUGAAUAGGGAGAGAACAUAUAGGAAUGAGCUCAUGUUGUUAGAAUGGAAACCUAAAGAAAAUUUGCUUCAUGUGAUAUAUCAGUAUGUAGAAGCUGGACCAUUUGCACAUCAUAUAGUUGAAGUUCCUCAUUCAUAUGGACUAGUUAUACUGUUCAGGGCUGGAGAUGCCGUCUUAAUGGAUUGCAAGGAUGCUCAUAAUCCUUAUUCCCUAUAUAGAAUUAGUUUAAAUUUCACUCCUUCAGUGGAAGAGCAGAAUUUUGUGGAACCUACAAUUAGGAUUCCUGAUAUCAUUGAUGAAGAAGGAAUGUAUAAUGUUGCUGCCUCUGCCUUAUUGGAGCUCAGUGACAUAAACAAAAGUGAUCCAAUGAAUAUUGAUGAUGAUAGCAGCACCAAACCAGGUACUAAUUAUGUCUGCUCAUGGACUUGGGACUCUGCAAAUAAAAACAACCCAAGGAUGAUUUUUAGUGCUGAUUCAGGUCAACUUUUUAUGGUUGAGAUUUUUUCUGAUUCUGAUGGCAUCAAAAUGAGCUUAUCUGAUUGCCUUUACAAAGGGCUACCAGCAAAAGAGCUAUUGUGGGUGGAAAGUGAUUUUAUAGCAGCUAUUGUUGAGAUGGGUGAUGGGAUGGUUUUAAAAUUGGAUGAUGGCAGGCUAGUUUACAGAAGUCCAAUCCAGAACAUUGCACCAAUAUUGGAUAUGUCAGUUGUGGACUACUACAAUGAGAAACAUGAUCAAAUGUUUGCUUGCUGCGGGAUGGCACCUGAAGGGUCAUUGCGAAUUAUUCGAAGUGGUAUCAGUGUGGAGAAGUUGUUGAAAACUGCUCCCAUUUAUCAAGGCAUAACGGGCACUUGGACUGUCAAAAUGAAAGUCACUGAUAGAUAUCAUUCAUUCCUUGUGCUCUCAUUUGUUGAAGAAACCAGAGUGCUUUCAGUUGGGGUAAGCUUUUCUGAUGUAACUGAUUCUGUGGGUUUCCAGCCUGAUGUCAGCACCUUGGCAUGUGGUCUCAUGGCUGAUGGUUUACUGGUGCAAAUACACAAAGAUGCUGUUAGACUUUGCGUGCCUAUUGCAUCUGCUCAUCCUGAAGGUGUUCCCCUAUCUUCCCCUGUUGGAACAUCAUGGUCGCCUAAUGAUACAAGAAUUAGUUUGGGUGCAGUUGGGUAUAAUGUGAUAGUUGUGGCCACUUCUAGUCCAUGCUUUUUGUAUGUACUUGGUCUGAAAUCAUUAUCAGCUUAUCAAUAUGAAUUGUACCAGUUGCAACAUGUAAGAUUGCAGGAUGAGUUGUCCUGCAUUUCCAUCCCUCAGAAACAGCUUGAGCAAAAACCAUUAGUUUCACCAAUGAGCAGCACAAAUGAUGCCCCUUUGGCUGCUUUUCCGGCAGAGCUUGACCUUAGUAGUACCUUUAUUAUUGGUACACACAAACCUUCGGUAGAAGUACUGUCCUUUUCGCUUGAUAAGGGCCUUCAAGUUAUUGCUAUAGGAUCCAUAUCAUUAACAAACACUCUAGGAACUACCAUCACUGGCUGUGUUCCUCAGGAUGUAAAGCUUGUACUUGUUGAUCGACCCUAUAUUCUUUCAGGAUUGAGGAAUGGUAUGCUACUCAGGUUUGAGUGGCCUUCUACCUCUAAUAUUUCUUUGCUACACUCAUCUAAUCUGCAGCAUUUCACCAGUUCUAAUUUGGCAAAUUCUACUACACCAUUCACAUCUGUAAAUUACAAGGCCAUGCCUACUUCCUCAUCCACUUUAUUUGAUAAGACAAGGGACAGUUUUCCUAUUCAUCUUCAACUAAUUGCAGUCCGUCGCAUAGGCAUCACCCCAGCUUUUUUGGUUCCAUUGAGUGACUCUCUUGAUGCUGAUGUAAUUGCACUGAGUGAUAGGCCUUGGCUAUUACAAACUGCAAGACAUAGCCUUUCCUAUACAUCCAUCUCCUUUCAGCCUUCCACACAUGCCACUCCUGUUUGUUCCACUGAAUGUCCGAAGGGAAUUCUAUUUGUUGCUGACAACAGUCUUAAUUUGGUGGAGAUGGUGUCUAGUAAACGGCUUAAUGUGCAGAAGUUUAACCUUGAUGGCACUCCACGCAAGGUCUUAUAUCAUAGUGAAAGCAAGUUAUUGGUUGUCUUGAGGACUGAUCUCAAUGAUGAUUCAUCCUCUGAUGUUUGCUGUAUAGAUCCUCUAAGUGGAUCAGUGGUAUCCUCAUUUAAACUGGAUCCUGGGGAGACUGGUAAAUGCAUGGAGUUGGUGAAAUCUGGGAAUGAUCAUGUUUUGGUAGUUGGAACUAGCCUCUCAUCAGGACCUGUAAUAAUGCCUAGUGGUGAAGCUGAAAGUACUAGGGGUCGUUUGUUAGUCCUCUGCCUUGAACAUAUUCCAAAUUCAGAUAGUGGUUCAAUAGCAUUUUUUUCGAGAGCUGGAUCAUCUUCUCAACGAACUUCACCCUUUUGUGAAAGUGGGGGAUAUGCAACUGAACAGCUGUCUGGUAGUAGCCUUUGUAGCAGCCCUGAUGACAACAGCUGUGAUGGGAUUAGACUUGAAGAAAGUGAGCCAUGGCAGUUACGUUUAACAUAUUCAAACAUUUGGCCAGGAGUGGUUCUUGCUAUCUGCCCUUACCUUGAUCGUAAUUUCUUGGCUUCAGCUGGUAAUGCUUUUUAUGUAUGUGGCUUCUCCAGUGAUAAUUCUCAAAGGGUGAGACGACUAGCGGGAGGGAAAACACGAUUCAUGAUCAUGACUUUAACUGCACACUUAACUAGAAUUGCUGUUGGUGAUUGUAGGGAUGGUAUCAUGUUCUACUCAUAUCAGGAGGAUGCAAGAAAACUGGAACAGCUUUACUGUGAUCCUGUCCAGCGGUUAGUUGCUGAUUGCAUUCUUAUGGAUGUUGAUACAGCUGCAGUUUCUGAUCGAAAGGGGAGUGUUGCCAUCUUGUCCUGUUUAAAUCAUUCAGAAGAGAAUUCCAGUCCUGAAUGCAACUUAGCUGUAGUUUCAUCAUUUUACAUGGGUGAAAUUGCGAUGCGGAUCCGAAAAGUAAGUUUCUUUUAGGACCUAUUGGAAAUGAUGUUACCAUGGUAUCAGCUGUCAUCUGCUGCCACAUUAUAGUUAGGGUCUUUUCACUUGUAGACCCGACCCCCUUCUUUCAUAACUCUGAUGGUCAAACUCCUUAUCCUAAUAUUAAGCCACCCUUGGUCACUUAAGUUUUUAAAAAUAGCCAGUCUUGGACCCCUACCCUUAAUCGUGAACAAAAAUGCACAGUUCUUUAGUAGAUGUGAACAUCCUUGGGAUUUGGCUAAGUUCAUUAGUUGCCACUUCAAUUCAGCAUCCUUAUGAAUGGAGGUGGUGCAGGCAAAGGACCCAAAUCCAGACUUGAACCCAAAAGCUGUCAAGUUCAACAUUCCUGAGGAGGAUGGCAUGCAUCUGCCGCUUCCUCUGCUAGCUGGUUGACACUAUUGGUGCCAGAACUAGGCAUUCGGUAUGAGCAGUAAAAUUUCAGAUUUCAGAGCUUAAUCAAGAUCUCAUCUCUAUAAACAUUCAAGAUCUUUGUCAAGAAUAAUCAAAGUUUCAGAGCAGUUUAUGAAGAAUAACCUGAUUAAAUGACUUGGAAGAUUAAAUUAGCUAAUUCAUCAUUGGCCUAGUCUACAAAUCAUUGGACAACAACAGGGGGUUUAAUUGCCCUUCUUUUCUCUGGUGAGAACAAGGGACGGAGGAUUUUUUCUUCAAUUUUUUACCUGUUGCAGGCUUGCAGCAUCUGUUGAACUCCUCUGAUUAGCAAAUCAAAUGGUUUUGUUAUUUUGAAUCCAGCUAUUGGCUUAUGUUGCCAGCUUGCCUCACCUGUUGCGGUCAAGUUACCCACACGUGAAUUUCCGUAAUCAUGUCCAUAGUAAGCAGUAGGGAAUAAUGCUGGCAACUUUUAAAGACUUAAGGGACCAAAAGUGGUUAAAAGUUAUCAUAAAGAGUUUGACCAUCAGCAUGGUGAAAAAAGGGAAACCAAAAGUUUAAAACUCCCUAAGAGUUAUUAGUAUAGAUGAUAGGAACACCAUUUAUGGACAAAAAAGGGUUGUAACUGCUGUUAACAGCUGACUUAUAAAAAUUUUAGAAACUAAAUGACAUGAAUGUUUGUAGAGAUGAGAACUUCUACUCUCUAUAUAUGAUUCAGCUUACUGAAGCGAUUUGGACUGAAAUAAUGUGUUUGUGGAAAAGAAAUUUGCUGCUCUCCUUAACUGGAGGUGUUCUUUAUUUGUGGCAACUUUCUGACAAUCUGUCAGAGUGUGAUUAAGACAGACUAAUGAUAUGUCAGAUUUUGUUAGGGAAGUACAAUGCUGUGUUUUCUAUGGCCUCUAAGUACCUUAAUAAAUGUGGAGCUUAAAUGCGGGCUACUCUUUAUUUGUCAGUAAUUCAGGAUGUUAUCUCAUGGAAGUCAGCUGAAUUUACUAAAAUUUCCAAUGAUUGAACAUAGAAGUUUCUUGUUAAAUGACAGCAGAGUUGUAUAAUAUUGUUUUUCUUUCAAAAUAAUUUUAUCAUUUGACUGGUUGGUCAUGCUCUUCACAAAUAUGACUCAAGGAACUACUAA